rnacentral:tRNA from 1 species
AGCGCAUGGGCUUCAAACCCGACGAGGCCG